UAGUCUAUCUAUAAGAGGAGAUCAUAUGAAAAACGUAACCGAUUCUUUCGUUUCUUUGGGCCACUGGCCAUCUGCCGGGAGUUUCGGGUUUAAUACCGAUAUUUUAGCAACAAAUCCAAUAAAUCUAAGUGUAGUGCUUGGUGUAUUGAUUUUUUUUGGAAAGGGAGUGUUAAGUGAUUUAUUAGAUAAUCGAAAACAGAGGAUCUUGAAUACUAUUCGAAAUUCAGAAGAACUGCGUGGGGGGCUAUUGAACAACUCGAAAAAGCUCGUUCUCGCUUACGGAAAGUAGAAAGCGAAGCCGAGCAGUUUCGAGUGAAUGGAUACUCCGAAAUAGAACGAGAAAAAUUGAAUUUGAUUAAUUCAACUUAUAAGACUUUGGAACAAUUAGAAAAUUACAAAAACGAAACGAUUCAGUUUGAACAGCAAAGGGCGAUUAAUCAAGUCCGACAACGGGUUUUCCAACAAGCCUUACGAGGAGCUCUAGGAACUCUGAAUAGUUGUUUGAACAACGAGUUACAUUUACGUACCAUUAGUGCCAAUAUUGGCAUGUUGGGAACAAUGAAAGAAAUAACUGAUUAGUCUUUCUACUGUAGGUAUUAUUUUUUUCUUUCAAAAAAUAAUAAAGAAAGAAUCAUGGUAACCAUUCGAGCUGACGAAAUUAGUAAUAUUAUCCGUGAACGUAUUGAACAAUAUAAUAGAGAAGUAAAGAUUGUAAAUACCGGUACCGUACUUCAAGUAGGCGACGGCAUUGCUCGUAUUCACGGUCUUGAUGAAGUAAUGGCGGGUGAAUUAGUCGAAUUUGAAGAGGGUACAAUAGGCAUUGCUCUGAAUUUGGAAUCAAAUAAUGUUGGUGUUGUAUUAAUGGGCGAUGGUUUGUUGAUACAAGAAGGAAGUUCUGUAAAAGCAACGGGAAGAAUUGCUCAGAUACCCGUGAGUGAGGCUUAUUUGGGUCGUGUUAUAAAUGCCCUGGCUAAACCUAUUGAUGGUAGAGGUGAAAUUUCAGCUUCUGAAUUUCGAUUAAUUGAAUCUGCCGCCCCGGGUAUUAUUUCGCGC